rnacentral:misc_RNA from 1 species
AGUCGUAACAAGGUUUCCGUAGGUGAACCUGCGGAAGGAUCAUUACCGAGUGAGGGCCCUCUGGGUCCAACCUCCCACCCGUGUUUAUUUACCACGUUGCCUCGGCGGGCCCGCCUGAACUGGCCGCCGGGGGGCUCACGCCCCCGGGCCCGCGCCCGCCGAAGACACCCCCGAACUCUGCCUGAAGAUUGUCGUCUGAGUGAAAAUAUAAAUUAUUUAAAACUUUCAACAACGGAUCUCUUGGUUCCGGCAUCGAUGAAGAACGCAGCGAAAUGCGAUACGUAAUGUGAAUUGCAAAUUCAGUGAAUCAUCGAGUCUUUGAACGCACAUUGCGCCCCCUGGUAUUCCGGGGGGCAUGCCUGUCCGAGCGUCAUUGCUGCCCUCAAGCCCGGCUUGUGUGUUGGGCCCCGUCCUCCGAUUCCGGGGGACGGGCCCGAAAGGCAGCGGCGGCACCGCGUCCGGUCCUCGAGCGUAUGGGGCUUUGUCACCCGCUCUGUAGGCCCGGCCGGCGCUUGCCGAUCAACCCAAAUUUUUUAUCCAGGUUGACCUCGGAUCAGGUAGGGAUACCCGCUGAACUUAAGCAUAUCAAUAAGCGGAGGAA